rnacentral:tRNA from 1 species
GGAUUGUAGCUCAGUGGUUGAGCGCUUGCUUGAGCACCACAUAAAAAUAAAACAAAGAAACUGUGUCCAUCUACAACUAAAAAUAUAAUACAGCAGCACGUGUGAGGCCCUGGGUUCGAUCCUCAGCACCA